rnacentral:rRNA from 1 species
UACAGAGGGUGCAAGCGUUGUUCGGAAUUACUGGGCGUAAAGCGCGUGUAGGCGGCGGCGUAGUCGGAUGUGAAAUCCCUCAGCUCAACUGAGGAAGUGCAUUCGAUACUGCGUCGCUUGAAUGUCGGAGGGGAUAGCGGAAUUCCCGGUGUAGAGGUGAAAUUCGUAGAUAUCGGGAGGAACACCUGUGGCGAAGGCGGCCAUCUGGACGACGAUUGACGCUGAGACGCGAAAAGCGUGGGUAGCAAACAGG